ensembl:antisense AI115009 expressed sequence AI115009
AAAAGCGCUUCGGAUUUAGGGUGUUUUAAGACGGAAUGUGGAGAGAAUAAUAGGAAGCAGGACUUCUCUCUGGGAAGCAGGUACCUUUAGCUCAUUCCUCAAGCCUCCUUCCUCACAUUCCUAUCCCCUGUCCCUGGUGCGGAUGCUGGAUGCUGCUGCUAAGCCCAGCAGAGGCCAGCAACAGGAGUCACGCCUGUCUGGCCGCUCCCAGUCGAACCCAGUCUGUGUAGGUGGGCGCGAGGGCUGGCGCUGGAGGCUGGGAGGACCUUUCAAGCAACCAGCAAACGCGCUCGGGAGUUCAUUGACUGGCCGCUUAGAGCUUCAGGGACCCAGGAGAUAGCGCUGCACUGGAUCGGCUGGGCUGUGUGUAUAUAUGCGUGUGUGGGUUUUUUUUCUCCCUCUCCAUCUUCAUCCUUCUCCUCAAGCCGUCCCCCCCGGGAGAGUCGCUUCGUCCACGCUUUCCCUCCCCUGCAAGGGGUCCCAACGCUUGGCGCCUGGAAUGUUUAGGACUCUGGAACCUUCAGUUUCCUGUCCUGCCUCCGUGUGGGCGACACUGGUCUCACCUGGCUUGACCCUCAGUCCCAGAGAGUGCUGCCAGGCCACGAUCUGCUGUCCAUUCUGGGUGCCCAUCUCGGAGGGAUACUCUGGGGACAGCCUGCAUCCAGUACCCAGCUUGAAGAGGGAAACUUGAUCCCAAGAUACGGGUUUCGAAGCCUGCAUUUGAAAAGGACCCGAGCGACCCGAGCGCACAAGGCGACUUGUCUGGGGCGAAGGGAACGGCGAGCCUCUGUGAGCGCCUUCAUUAGGGACCCUACACCGGAAGGUGCAGCCGGGCACUGGCCCUCGGGACAUUCGCUGGGGAUCCUUUGGCCACCCCAGCCUCUUACCUCGAAAAGCUGAGGAAUGUCCCUCCGGGCCAGCCACGUUUCUUCUGUUAAUUGUCAUUCUGCAGUAUAAUUAAUUAAUUUCCAUGCUGCUUCUAACUGGGUGAAAUUACAAGACUAAGGAUCGACCACAUCUCUGCAAGCAGUGAGCGUGCUUAAGGAGAGCUCUUCCCAGUCCUUGAGCCACAGAGGAAGGAGGAACAAAAGCCCAGGGUCAUCCGUGCUUUCUCAGUGAGUCUGGUUACCUGAGACCCUGCCUGAAAAGCUCAAACCAAACCAAGGAAAAAAAUAAGAUGAGUCAGUGACAUGGGAGCCCAGGCAGCACCAAGGUGAAAGGAUUCACCCUGAGCAGGCGUCUGGACCUGGGCACACCCAGUCCCACCAGGGACCACUAGUGAUGAGUAGGAGGUUUGAGACUUGAGUACUUGCUUCAUCACAGGGGUCCCUGACGCACCCCAUUCUGAGACAGUAAAUUGGAAACCAGGGUAUGGAAAUAACCACCGAAAGUGACCUUCUGCCAUGGUAUUUGUGAAGGGAAGAAUAGUUAAUCCCAAGAGUGAUGGAGCCUGUUAGGCAACUUGAGCCUGUUAGGCCUUUGUCGCCCUCCCGAGAUGGAACCAAGUUAUCGGAAAUGCCUGACCUUGGCAGUUACAGAGAGCUCCAGCGCAUGAGCUUCCCUCACAGCAGAACCCAAAUUCCACAGGAAGCAGCCAAGGAAGGGACAGAAGAAGCAGGGGACAGCUGGGAAUAUCAGCUCUCCUUGUUGCCUCCCCAAGGCACACGUUACGACCAUCUAUCGAGAGAGGAGCAAGAAGGGUUUUCUGAGAUGCUGGGGUUUAUAUAAGAUAGAGCUUAUCAAAUACUUUCCAUCUGUCCAAGAAAUUUUUACACAAGUCUAAGUAUAAGUAUAUAAAAUAGGUUUACAAAUCAAACUGAUAACUUACUGAUAAUAUAAAGAAAUGUAUUUUAAAACU